rnacentral:rRNA from 1 species
UACGAAGGGGGGCUAGCGUUGCUCGGAAUUACUGGGCGUAAAGGGAGCGUAGGCGGACUGUUAAGUUAGAGGUGAAAGCCCAGGGCUCAACCUUGGAAUUGCCUUUGAUACUGGCAGUCUUGAGUACGGAAGAGGUAUGUGGAACUCCGAGUGUAGAGGUGAAAAUUCGUAGAUAUUCGGAAGAACACCAGUGGCGAAGGCGACAUACUGGUCCGUUACUGACGCUGAGGCUCGAAAGCGUGGGGAGCAAACAGG